GAUGAACGCUGGCGGCGUGCUUAACACAUGCAAGUCGAACGGUGAACGAGGGAGCUUGCUCCCUCCGGAUCAGUGGCGAACGGGUGAGUAACACGUGAGCAAUCUGCCCUGGACUCUGGGAUAAGCGUUGGAAACGACGUCUAAUACCGGAUACGAGGCGUGGGGGCAUCCCCAACGCCUGGAAAGAACUUCGGUCCAGGAUGAGCUCGCGGCCUAUCAGGUAGUUGGUGAGGUAACGGCUCACCAAGCCUACGACGGGUAGCCGGCCUGAGAGGGUGACCGGCCACACUGGGACUGAGACACGGCCCAGACUCCGCCGGGAGGCAGCAGUGGGGAAUAUUGCACAAUGGGCGCAAGCCUGAUGCAGCAACGCCGCGUGAGGGACGACGGCCUUCGGGUUGUAAACCUCUUUUAGCAGGGAAGAAGCGAAAGUGACGGUACCUGCAGAAAAAGCACCGGCUAACUACGUGCCAGCAGCCGCCGUAAGAC
rnacentral:rRNA from 1 species